rfam:Oryza rufipogon genomic scaffold, chr01
UUUAAUUACAACCAUAAGUUUUACUUUAAUCGUUCGUCUUAUUUGAAAUUUUUUUAUAAUUAGUAUUUUUUUAUGAGAUGAUAAAGCAUGAAUAGUACUAUACUCGUGACUUACGUUUUUAUAUUUUUUUUUAAUUUUUUUUUAAAUAAGACGGAUGAUCAAAGUUAAACGCGGAAAACCAUAGCUACACUUAAG